rnacentral:piRNA from 1 species
UGCCGGCAGUUGCAAGAUGAACAUCGUG